rnacentral:tRNA from 2 species
GACUUAAAAUCCGUCGAUUUUAUAAAUCGUGAGG